GGCUCAAUGGUCUAGUGGUCUGAUACUUCCUUCGGGCGGUGGAUCUAGUUAAUCCCCUCCGGAUAUCUGCCUUGAAACAGUAUCCAAGUUUGGAAGUGGUCCCGGGUUCGAGUCCCGGUUGAGCCC